rfam:Candidatus Buchananbacteria bacterium RIFCSPHIGHO2_01_FTLL_39_8 rifcsphigho2_01_scaffold_15646, whole genome shotgun sequence.
GCCGUUGUAGCUCAGUUGGUAGAGCAACUCCAUGGUAAGGAGUAGGUCAUCGGUUCAAGUCCGAUCAACGGCU